AGCGAACGCUGGCGGCAGGCCUAACACAUGCAAGUCGAACGAGGUCUUCGGACCUAGUGGCGGACGGGUGAGUAACACGUGGGAACGUGCCCUUUGGUACGGAAUAACUCAGGGAAACUUGAGCUAAUACCGUAUGUGCCCUUCGGGGGAAAGAUUUAUCGCCAUUGGAGCGGCCGGCGUCUGAUUAGCUAGUUGGUGAGGUAAUGGCUCACCAAGGCGACGAUCAGUAGCUGGUCUGAGAGGAUGACCAGCCACAUUGGGACUGAGACACGGCCCAACCUCCUACGGGAGGCAGCAGUGGGGAAUCUUGCGCAAUGGGCGAAAGCCUGACGCAGCCAUGCCGCGUGGAUGAUGAAGGUCUUAGGAUUGUAAAAUCCUUUCACCGGUGAAGAUAAUGACUGUAGCCGGAGAAGAAGCCCCGGCUAACUUCGUGCCAGCCGCCGCAGUAACAC
rnacentral:rRNA from 1 species